UACGUAGGUGACAAGCGUUGUCCGGAUUUACUGGGCGUAAAGAGCGCGCAGGCGGUCGAUCAAGUCGAGUGUGAAAGCCCCCGGCUCAACUGGGGAGGGUCAUUCGAUACUGAUCGACUCGAAGGCAGGAGAGGGUAGUGGAAUUCCCGGUGUAGUGGAGAAAUGCGUAGAUAUCGGGAGGAACACCAGUGGCGAAGGCGACUACCUGGCCUGUUCUUGACGCUGAGGCGCGAAAGCUAGGGGAGCAAACGGG
rnacentral:rRNA from 1 species